UCCUGGCCGGUUGCGAAUGCGCGUAAGAGGAAAGAUUGGAAGUGGAAGAGAACCACUCUCUGCCAACUUUGGAAGCUCCUGUUUCCAUUCUGAAUUGCUACCCCAUUUUCUGCCUUGAAGCUUGACUACCCUUCCAGUGGAAGUGAGGAGGCUCUGUCCUGAUGAAGACACAUCAGGCUCUUGAUGAAUCCAUUCCAGGCUGUCAACAGGUCAGAACUGUGUUCUGUCACAGAGUGGUUCCAGGUUUCUGAGAGCUAGUGCCGGUAACAGAAGCAGCACCAUUGCUUUGCCGUAUCGGAAGCUGGCUGUGUGCUGACAGCACUGUGUGGUUCCGGAUGAGCUCUGCCUGGUUCCCUGCCUGGUGACUCAGUGAGCUGGUUUCUCUGUAACGGGAGCAUAUGCCCCAUGCAUGCUGUGUUAGCAGAUUAUUAAUAACCACACAGAAGUACUGAAGCAGGCACGAGCAUCUCAUCUCUCUGUAAGCGUAUCACUUUCAAAUCCAGAUCCUCUCCUAAUCUGUUCAUGGACUCUUCUUGACACAAUCACUUUUCAUAUAGAAAUGAUGCAUGUCUCUAAUGUUCUAGUACAUUGUCUCUGAACCUCGCUUUCUUUGUCUUCAUCAAGUGUUCGUCAAGCAGCGUGGCAUUACUUGAUCUCAGGAGUAUUUUUCCUCAAUAAUGUUAAAUGUGGAGAAUCCUAUCCAGUCUGUCUCUACAACAGAGGAUUUCAACCUGUGUGGCGAGAAGCCACAGAGGUCAAAUGACCAUUUCACAAGGGUAGCUUAUAAGCUAUCCUGCACAUCUGUUGUUUACAUUAUGAUUCAUAACAGUAGUGAAGUUACAGUUAUGAAGUAGCAAUGAAAUAAUUUUAUGGGUGGGAGUCACCACAAGAUGAGGAAUACAAGGUCAACGCAUUAGGAACGGUGAGAACCACUGCUCUGCAAUCUUGAAGAUGACGAAGGAAGUUUGUUAUUUUCUAUUUCAAGAGGCAAAUGCUACUUUAAUUUUUUUUUAUUACUUUAUAGCCUCAGGAUGAGUACAUGAUGACAAAGGUAACAGAGCUAACACCAGCAGCCAGAAAGAAUAAAUAAGUCAAUCUAAUCAACAAAUAUCUAGAAAAUUGCUAGAUUCCUGCUGAAGUUAUGUUUUAUUAGCAUUGAGAAGGAAUGAUAGCUUGAACGUAGUCUUUAGACUAGAAAGUGACAUUUACAAUACUUGCCAUAUGAGGUCCUCUUUUGAAGCCAUUGUAAAAGCUGAAUAAGCAGCCAUGUGUGAGGAACAAAGAUGGCGUUGUGUCAAGACAGACUUGUUCUCGUGUCUCAGCAGGCUUCUGGAAGCUUCUCCUGCUGGCUGAGAGAGACACUUCUCAGAUGCAUGAAAACUUUGCAAGAAGGAAAGCCACGUACUUCACAUUCUCCAUGGGGCUACAAGGGAAAAGAUUUAGGUUCAAUUUACUGGAGGAAAUUCCAUUCAGACAUGAAGCACAUAUUCAACUCCGGGAGCAAGAAGCAGUACCUGUUCAGCACCUAGAUGGCUCCACCCUACAAGUCCCCUUCUAUUUACUAUGUUGCUAUGAACUCAUGCCAACAACACGUCUUGACCUCAAAUUUCACAGAAUAUAUUUUUUUCUUUCCAAACUUUAUAUACAUAGGAGUAUAUAACCAUGUACUGCAUCUGUUUUUUUCUUUUCCAAAAUUUGUAUGAAACUCAUUUGUUACAUAUGCUAGCAGUUAAUUCCCUCUUAUUGCAUCUCAUUUCAAGUCUGUGAAGGUACCGCAAUUAUGUGUAAUCUAUUCUGUCACCGAUGGGCAUUUGCAUGAUUUCCAGUUUAUAGAAAUUAUCAAGAACUUUCCAAUAAAAAACUUUUAUGCAUAGAUUUGUUAUACACAGCUCAUCAAAACGUUCCCUGGUCUGUCUGUAUAUCCUUAAUCAUAGGAUAGUCUUUGAGCAUAUCUCAUGUCAUUUUAUGAGAUUAUUGAUCUUUCUCAGAGUGUCUAUAGUUAUUCACUCUAGACAAGACUCAUGUUGUAAAUACAUUUUGCAAAUUUACCUUUCCUUUUCUUAAGAUUGACAGUUUUCUUCUAUAAAUGGAAAUUUUCUAAUGCUCCCCUCUUAUUUGCAAGUUAUGUGAUCUUGAGGUAUUAUUUCAUUCUCACUAAAUUGAAACGUUACCAACAGUAAAAUGAGGUAUUUGUUCUUUCCAUUUUUUUUUCUUGAGUUUGUAUUACAUAGAUUCUCUGACAAAGACUGAGUAAAUUUCUAAACCAAAGUUUUUGAGUUUCUUAUCAGCUUUCUCAGAGUGGAAGUAUAGGAAGCAACGGAGCACUGGGAUCUCUGAGCAUGACUGACAGAAAUAAGCCACCUAUACCUUAUUAUCUCUCAACUUUGUGUGGCUCGGAUAAA